GGUAGAGUGGCCGAGGGGAAGGCUAUGAGUUGUAGCCUCACUUACACAGGUUUAAAUCCUGUCACUACCU
rnacentral:tRNA from 1 species